GUCUUUUUGAAAAUAAUAUAAAGUUUAAUCUGCCCACUGAAUUAAUUUAAAGGGCUGCAGUAUAUUGACUGUACAAAGGUAGCAUAAUCAUUAGUCUUUUAAUUGGAGACUUGUAUGAAUGAUUUAAUGAAAUAUAAACUGUUUCUAUUUUAAAAUUAGAAUUUAAUUUUUUAGUUAAAAAGCUAAAAUAAUUAUAAAAGACGAGAAGACCCUAUAGAGUUUUAUAAUUAUUUAAUUAUAAUUUAUUUAUAAAAAUUAAUCAUUAUAAUUAAAUAAUUAUUUUGUUGGGGUGAUAAAAAAAUAAAAAUAACUUUUUUUAAAAUUUAACAUUAAUAUAUGAGUAUUUGAUCCAUAAUUUAUGAUUAUAAGAAUAAAUUACCUUAGGGAUAACAGCGUAAUUUUUUUUUUUAGUUCAAAUAAAAAAGAAAGUUUGCGACCUCGAUGUUGGAUUAAGAUAAAAUUUAAAUGCAAAAGUUUAAUAUUUUUGAUCUGUUCGAUCAUUAAAAUCUU
rnacentral:rRNA from 1 species